CGCUUUGUCAUCACGUUUCCUCAAUCGCCAGACAUUAAAGCCGCUCUAAGGACCAGCCGGGGCUUACGAGGUGACUGGAGAGAGCAAGGCGGAUGUGGGGUGGUCCGUGGCAGGCCGGCCACUUCUUCUUCGUCCCCGUCUCUGGGAGUCAGUCCCGUGGGUGUGGACCCCCCGCAUGACCAGGGUGCCGGUAGGCGGGAUGCAGAACGCUCUUGCCUCCUGGAAGGUCCUCACAGCGCGCUGGCUCUGAACGUCCUCCUGGUCUGGUGGCUCAUGCGAGGGGACCGCUCAUGUUGCUGGAAGAGAUGGGCACUCACCGGGCCGGACCGCUGUGGCUGUGGUCCCUUGGCCCGCAGUAGAUCCGAGUCUCCCCCACAGAAGGACGGGGAUGUGGCCAUUGCAUCGGGCUGUGAAGGUUUCUAUCUGGGAGUGACAGACAUCACCUCCAGUCAAAUUCACACUGACAUCCGGGUAGGAAGAGCAGCCUCGCCGUGGCUGGAAGGACGAGACACCUGCUGCGCAUGAAUGGUCCUAACGAGCAGCCUACUGAUUCUGUGAAGGAGACAAACAGCUUUGCCAUGAAAAGAAGGAAAUAAAAAGCCGCUCUCUGUUAAAGGAAGAAAAGUG
rnacentral:lncRNA from 1 species